GAUGAAGAACGCAGCGAAAUGCGAUAAGUAGUGUGAAUUGCAGAAUUCAGUGAAUCAUCGAAUCUUUGAACGCACAUUGCGCCCCUUGGUAUUCCAUGGGGCAUGCCUGUUCGAGCGUCAUUUGUACCUUCAAGCUUUGCUUGGUGUUGGGUGUUUGUCUCGCCUCUGCGUGUAGACUCGCCUUAAAACAAUUGGCAGCCGGCGUAUUGAUUUCGGAGCGCAGUACAUCUCGCGCUUUGCACUCAUAACGACGACGUCCAAAAGUACAUUUUUACACUCUUGACCUCGGAUCAGGUAGGGAUACCCGCUGAACUUAAGCAUAUCAAUAAGCGGAGA
rnacentral:misc_RNA from 1 species